AUUGAACGCUGGCGGCAUGCUUUACACAUGCAAGUCGAACGGUAACAGGGUGCUUGCACCGCUGACGAGUGGCGAACGGGUGAGUAAUGCGUCGGAACGUGCCGAGUAGUGGGGGAUAACGCAUCGAAAGGUGUGCUAAUACCGCAUACGUACUGAGGUAGAAAGUGGGGGACCUUCGGGCCUCACGCUAUUCGAGCGGCCGACGUCUGAUUAGCUAGUUGGUGAGGUAAAGGCUCACCAAGGCGACGAUCAGUAGCGGGUCUGAGAGGAUGAUCCGCCACACUGGGACUGAGACACGGCCCAGACUCCUACGGGAGGCAGCAGUGGGGAAUUUUGGACAAUGGGCGCAAGCCUGAUCCAGCCAUGCCGCGUGUCUGAAGAAGGCCUUCGGGUUGUAAAGGACUUUUGUCCGGGAGCAAAUACCCAGUGCUAAUAACGCUGGGGGCUGAGAGUACCGGAAGAAUAGGCACCGGCUAACUACGUGUCAGCCGCCGCCGUAAGAC
rnacentral:rRNA from 1 species